rnacentral:rRNA from 1 species
CCUACGGGAUGCAGCAGUAGGGAAUCUUCGGCAAUGGACGAAAGUCUGACCGAGCAACGCCGCGUGAGUGAAGAAGGUUUUCGGAUCGUAAAACUCUGUUGUUAGAGAAGAACAAGGACGUUAGUAACUGAACGUCCCCUGACGGUAUCUAACCAGAAAGCCACGGCUAACUACGUGCCAGCAGCCGCGGUAAUACGUAGGUGGCAAGCGUUGUCCGGAUUUAUUGGGCGUAAAGCGAGCGCAGGCGGUUUCUUAAGCCUGAUGUGAAAGCCCCCGGCUCAACCGUGGAGGGUCAUUGGAAACUGGGGGACUUGAGUGCAGAAGAGGAGAGCGGAAUUCCACGUGUAGCGGUGAAAUGCGUAGAGAUGUGGAGGAACACCAGUGGCGAAGGCGGCUCUCUGGUCUGUAACUGACGCUGAGGCGCGAAAGCGUGGGGAGCAAACAGGAUUAGAUACCCUGUAGUC